AACGUGAGCUAAUACCGGAUAUCUCAUUUCCUCUCCUGGGGAAAUGACGAAAGACGGAGCAAUCUGUCACUUGCGGAUGGGCCUGCGGCGCAUUAGCUAGUUGGUGAGGUAACGGCUCACCAAGGCGACGAUGCGUAGCCGACCUGAGAGGGUGAACGGCCACACUGGGACUGAGACACGGCCCAGACUCCUACGGGAGGCAGCAGUAGGGAAUCUUCCGCAAUGGGCGAAAGCCUGACGGAGCAACGCCGCGUGAGUGAUGAAGGUUUUCGGAUCGUAAAGCUCUGUUGCCAGGGAAGAACGUCCGGUAGAGUAACUGCUAUCGGAGUGACGGUACCUGAGAAGAAAGCCCCGGCUAACUACGUGCCAGCAGCCGCGGUAAUACGUAGGGGGCAAGCGUUGUCCGGAAUUAUUGGGCGUAAAGCGCGCGCAGGCGGUCAUUUAAGUCUGGUGUUUAAGGCCAAGGCUCAACCUUGGUUCGCACUGGAAACUGGGUGACUUGAGUGCAGAAGAGGAGAGUGGAAUUCCACGUGUAGCGGUGAAAUGCGUAGAUAUGUGGAGGAACAC
rnacentral:rRNA from 1 species